rnacentral:rRNA from 1 species
UCAACCUGAGAGUUUGAUCCUGGCUCAGAGCGAACGCUGGCGGCAGGCCUAACACAUGCAAGUCGAACGAACUCUUCGGAGUUAGUGGCGGACGGGUGAGUAACACGUGGGAACGUGCCUUUAGGUUCGGAAUAACUCAGGGAAACUUGUGCUAAUACCGAAUGUGCCCUUCGGGGGAAAGAUUUAUCGCCUUUAGAGCGGCCCGCGUCUGAUUAGCUAGUUGGUGAGGUAAAGGCUCACCAAGGCGACGAUCAGUAGCUGGUCUGAGAGGAUGAUCAGCCACAUUGGGACUGAGACACGGCCCAAACUCCUACGGGAGGCAGCAGUGGGGAAUCUUGCGCAAUGGGCGAAAGCCUGACGCAGCCAUGCCGCGUGAAUGAUGAAGGUCUUAGGAUUGUAAAAUUCUUUCACCGGGGACGAUAAUGACGGUACCCGGAGAAGAAGCCCCGGCUAACUUCGUGCCAGCAGCCGCGGUAAUACGAAGGGGGCUAGCGUUGCUCGGAAUUACUGGGCGUAAAGGGAGCGUAGGCGGACAUUUAAGUCAGGGGUGAAAUCCCGGGGCUCAACCUCGGAAUUGCCUUUGAUACUGGGUGUCUUGAGUGUGAGAGAGG